CUCGUUAUCCUAAACUCAUCUCACUUUUUUUCUAUUUCUUUUUUUUCCUUACAGACGGCAAACACUAACCUCUCUCCAUCUUCAUCUCCUUCACGAAACCAGAAAUUGAACCUUUUCUUCAUCUACUCUAUCUCCUCCAGAAAACCAGAGGAAUGAAAAACCCCAUUUUCUGAACCGUGUUCAUCAUUAAAUAAACUCCGUACUCAACCUAUUCAUGACCUCUGAUCUCUCUAGAAACCCAAACUUUUCCAAUUUUAACCCUGAUAAUCGUUCAAUUCACCAGAUCUAUUCAAGGUCGUCUAUUGAUCAAUAACUGGUGUUGUUUUUUAACCAUUUGAAGAAGUUAAAAAAGAGCACAAAAUGAAAACCCUAACUGUUGUUGGAUUUUUUCGUGGUAUGGGUAAUUCUCAGUAUUACAUCUACAAACUGCUAAUUGCAGGCACAUCGGUAUGGACAUGUGGGAUAUGGCUCUGGAGAGAAGGGACAAAAAGUUGCUCGAGAAAUUGUAUAAUGAGAAGAUCUAUGGGUUUAGAACGGGGUGCUGGUUACUACACUGGAUAUUUAAACAAGUUCUGUUUGUAGCUUUUUGUGGUGAUGUGGUGGUGGUACUAGAUAUGGUGGUGGCAGAAUAUCUUUCGUCACUUAAAGCUCCAAGAAUGGAAGUGACUCCAAAGAUGUUAGAGUUCAUGAGAAAUCUAAGAAAGACAACAGAAGAGCUUGGGAAUGUGUUCACAAGCCCAAUAUGCACAUGGAUACUAAUAAAGUGGAAGAAGUCGAUAAUGAUGAGGUUUCAAGGGGGAAUGCCUUGGUAUAUGUUACAGAAAUUUCAAGUGGUGUUCUUCUAUGUCCUAAUAUAGCAACGCGGGGACUGACUCUCUUGGUGUGGAUUUGGACGUGCAGGUAUAUUUCAUCUGAUUUUUUAUUUUCUUCGGAACUCUAUAAAUGAGUUUUCUGAGCACUUCAUGUUGAGUUUUCUGAGCACUUCAUUGAUUUUAUAGUGACAUAUCUGAUUGUGUGUAAACUUGAUUACUUUGUUGUUUCUUUUAUUGGAAGUAACUGUAUAAACAGUACGUACCAAACAAUGAUGAAUGCAACUGAAAUGGUACAUAUAUGGACAGCAUGAAUCCAAAAUGCAUCUCCAUAGAUUGCUUUGCAAGUGCACUUGGAGCUUAGUACAUUAAGGAUGAAGAUUGUGAAGUGGCUGUACAGUUGGUGGUAAAAGCUGGCUAUCCGAAUGCCGAGGAGCUGGCACUCAAUGACUAGUUUCGCGUGAGACAUACCCUUGAGAUUAUCAUGUUAGGUUCAUUUUUUGGUGCUAGAGUUGUGAAUUAUUGCAGGUUAUCAGUCUUGUCGGUGCACAAAAUGCAUCCCUUCAUCCUGAUGAUGUAUUAUUACUAGAUGUCAGACUUGAUUGCUUUAUAUCAUGCAUAGGCGAAAUCAGUAAGGAUCUUGAUUGAAAGAUUACACUUUCUUCAAAGUGGAUUAUGACUUAGGAUACAUUUGUUAUAGCUUAUGCUUAAGCAUCACAUUUUUUAUAUAGUGUUUUUUGUUUUGCCAUCUGUUGUGAAUUGUAGAGUGUUUGAACAACUUGGGUUUCUAGUUCAAAUCUAUCUCAUGCUUUGUGGACCUUAGUUUAUCUUGACCUUAGUGCUCGUAUCUAGCAGUCACUUUAUAAGUUGGGCAAUCAUGGGGUUCGAGGGAAGUAUGUAACUGUGGCUCACAUCCUAAAAUUGCCUUAAAAAUAUACAUUUUAAGAUUCUAUUGUGGAUAAAUGUGAUUCUGGAUGUUAACUGCUACCGUGGAUUGAGCCUGAUUUUUUUUCCUUUUUUUCCUGGCAACACUUAUCAGAUCUAUUUAUCUGAAUAAGAAAUAAAAUAUCUUAUUUUCCCAUCUUUUGCCUAUUCCUUGAAGGCUGACGCCUUGGUUAUCUUGUAGGUUUGAAGUGGGUGAUAAUGAUUGGUUGAGUUUGCUGCUUGCUUGAAGCAGAAGGCAUACAAGGAAUUUAAAGAAUGAGAUGAAGAACUUUUUGGCUUGCAUAUGUCGACAUGGAAAUCCUUAACUUUGAAAAUGUUGACAACCCUAGCAAUGUCAUGGAGCUUAGAUUUUGGGCUUUUUACAAAGAUAAACAUUAGCAAGGACUGGCUGCAAGAGAAACCGGUGCAAUUGAAGAAGGAUAAUGUUGAAAAACAAGUGGAGGCUCUUACAUGGCAUUUGCAGUUGAUAGCUCUUGGCAUGUUCAAGGUGUUGCGUGUAAAAUGUUACUACUAAACUAUGGAGUAUUUUAGAAAAAAAUUGUUGAAACUUAGAACGUCGUCCUUAGCAACAAUCUGGAAAUAGAAGAUUGAACACCAUAUUACCAUAUGUGUUGUGAUACUUUUUAAAUCAAGUUGCUUUGGUAGUUUUGUCUGAGGAAGAUUCAGAUUUGGAUCAUGAGUGAUUCUGGUUUUUUUAAUUUGCAUAACAGAUUUUGUUUUUAAUAAAAUGCUAAUUCAAUUUUUUGUUCGCCAUA